rnacentral:ncRNA from 1 species
ACCAAGGAGUCUAACAUGUGCGCGAGCCGCGGGGCAGUACGAAACCCGUAAGGCGAAAUGAAGGUGAACGCCGGCGCGGUCCGGCGGAGGUUGGAUCCCGUCCCGUCGGGGCGGGCGCACUACCGGCCGAUCUUCUCCGCCCUGUCGGCGAGGUCGAGCGAGAGCGUGCAAGUCGGGACCCGAAAGAUGGUGAACUAUGCCUGAGGAGGUUGAAGCCAGAGGAAACUCUGGUGGAGGACCGUAGCGAUUCUGACGUGCAAAUCGAUCGUCAAAUUUGGGUAUAGGGGCGAAAGACUAAUCGAACCGUCUAGUAGCUGUGUACC